CCCCCACCCUCUGUACCUGGCUCAAAGCUAUGGACCCGAGCGAACUCCGGUGUCUCUUUGUGCCUCUGCAGCAGAUCAGCCGCCUGGUGAGCCACGUGAUCGAGAUGCUGCCGAGAAACAUGGGCAGUACAACAUGGCGUUGCAUCUGCUGGAGACGGUGGACACACUGCAGGAAGAGGAGUGAAAGAGAGAGAGAGAGAGAGAGAGAGAGAGAGAGAGAGGAGGGGUGCUGGAGAAUAUUUCCAUGUAAAUUCCAUUGUCACUUUAUAAGUGCACUAAUUAAGAUUCCACAUUACUCCAGACGUAUCCGGUCGGUCAGGACAUGGUCAGCAUUUUCAGUUGUGUACCCGCGCUAAUUAUGCUAAUUAACUCAUUAAUUAACCAUUCGAUUCUUUACUUAUUCAUUAAUUAUGUAAUUGCUUAAAAUGGCAGUUAAUUAA